rnacentral:rRNA from 1 species
CCCCAGUAAACGGCGGCCGUAACUAUAACGGUCCUAAGGUAGCGAAAUUCCUUGUCGGGUAAGUUCCGACCCGCACGAAAGGCGUAACGAUUUGGGCACUGUCUCAACGAGAGACUCGGUGAAAUCAUAGUACCGGUGAAGAUGCCGGUUACCCGCGACAGGACGGAAAGACCCCGUGGAGCUUUACUGUAGCCUGAUAUUGAAAUUCGGUACAGUUUGUACAGGAUAGGUAGGAGCCUUAGAAGCGUGAGCGCUAGCUUACGUGGAGGCAUUGGUGGGAUACUACCCUAAUUGUAUUGGAUUUCUAACCCGCAGCACUUAUCGUGCUGGGAGACAGUGUCAGGCGGGCAGUUUGACUGGGGCGGUCGCCUCCUAAAGAGUAACGGAGGCGCUCAAAGGUUCCCUCAGAAUGGUUGGAAAUCAUUCAUAGAGUGUAAAGGCAUAAGGGAGCUUGACUGCGAGACCUACAAGUCGAGCAGGGUCGAAAGACGGACUUAGUGAUCCGGUGGUUCCGCAUGGAAGGGCCAUCGCUCAACGGAUAAAAGCUACCCCGGGGAUAACAGGCUUAUCUCCCCCAAGAGUUCACAUCGACGGGGAGGUUUGGCACCUCGAUGUCGGCU